UUCCUCCAGUAAUAACCUUCCUCGUAUUUUCUUUGAGUAUAAAUUCAACAGGUAGCCUAAUUCUCAUGCACUGCCCCUUAAAUUGCAAACUUUUUUGAUAAGCAAUUAAUCAUUUUGAGUAAUAUAUGAAGAAAUACAGUCAAAAUUCUCAGAUUCCAGCUUCUUGAAUGUGAAUAUUUUCUGAUUUCUUCACUCCUCUGUGAACAAACAAACAUAAUGACUUUGAUUUUGGAUGAAACAUUUGAGGACGUCAUCUUGGGCUUUGACACUGAUCGACAUUUUUCACAACUUUUUGGUACUUUAUAGACAAAACUAUUAACUAAUUAAUCGAGAAAACAAUCGACAAAUUAAUCAACAAUACCUUUUGUAUUAGUUGCAGUUGCAUAUUCUGUUUCAAAGAUUAGCACAAUAUGCAUCACGCGAUAAAAAUCUGUCAACCUCGUCCUCGUCUGAAUAAACAGGGAGCCUCAUGACAGUGAUGAACUGUAGGCGGACCUACAGAAACACUCAUACACCCUUAGAUCAGCAAAUUAUACGCAGUGACACACCUGCGACUGUCAGAACAUGGCUGUCAUCGUCAAACACGACCUCCUCACACUGUCAGCGUUUCUGCUGUGGACUACAGGUCUGACUGAUGGAAACAAUGUCACCCAGACGCCCAUAUUGUGGAAAAACAGGGGUGAAAAUGCAACAAUACACUGCAGCCACACGAAGGAUCAGAACCAUUACUACAUGUACUGGUACAGACAGCUGCCGGGAGAAUCAGUGACUCUAAUAGUGUUCACAUCACUCGGCACAGAUAAUGACUUUGGAAAUUUCAGCAACAAGAAAUUCAUGGCUGCCAAACCUGACGCCAACACCGGAUCAUUCACAGUGAAGAAUGUGGAGCCAGGAGAUCAGGGCUUGUAUUUCUGUGCUGUGGCAGUGCAGCACAUCUGUGGUGUGUAGUGACAGUUCAUGAGGAGGAGAAUUCAUGACGAAACCACCCAAUUAAAAAAAAAAAGGUUCCU